rnacentral:rRNA from 1 species
UACGUAGGGCGCAAGCGUUGUCCGGAAUUAUUGGGCGUAAAGAGCUCGUAGGCGGUUUGUCGCGUCUGUCGUGAAAGCUUGGGGCUUAACCCCAAGUCUGCGGUGGAUACGGGCAGACUAGAGGCAGGUAGGGGAGAACGGAAUUCCCGGUGUAGCGGUGAAAUGCGCAGAUAUCGGGAGGAACACCGGUGGCGAAGGCGGUUCUCUGGGCCUGUACUGACGCUGAGACGCGAAAGCGUGGGGAGCAAACAGG